UAGGGAAUCUUCCACAAUGGACGAAAGUCUGAUGGAGCAACGCCGCGUGAGUGAAGAAGGUUUUCGGAUCGUAAAACUCUGUUGUUGGAGAAGAAUGUAUCUGAUAGUAACUGAUCAGGUAGUGACGGUAUCCAACCAGAAAGCCACGGCUAACUACGUGCCAGCAGCCGCGGUAAUACGUAGGUGGCAAGCGUUGCCCGGAUUUAUUGGGCGUAAAGCGAGCGCAGGCGGUUUCUUAAGUCUGAUGUGAAAGCCUUCGGCUCAACCGAAGAAGUGCAUCGGAAACUGGGAAACUUGAGUGCAGAAGAGGACAGUGGAACUCCAUGUGUAGCGGUGAAAUGCGUAGAUAUAUGGAAGAACACCAGUGGCGAAGGCGGCUGUCUGGUCUGUAACUGACGCUGAGGCUCGAAAGCAUGGGUAGCAAACAG
rnacentral:rRNA from 1 species